UACGUAGGGAGCAAGCGUUGUCCGGAAUCAUUGGGCGUAAAGCGCGUGUAGGCGGCUUGGUAAGUCUGCUCUGAAAGCCCGGGGCUCAACCCCGGGAGGCGGGUGGAUACUGCUGAGCUCGAGUCCGGAAGAGGCGAGUGGAAUUCCUGGUGUAGCGGUGAAAUGCGCAGAUAUCAGGAGGAACACCGAUGGCGAAGGCGGGUCUCUGGGCAGUAACUGACGCUGAGGAGCGAAAGCGUGGGGAGCGAACAGG
rnacentral:rRNA from 1 species